UGUGUUUGUUGAUUAGGAUUUUAUUUUCUUAUUUUUUUUUUUAAAUUCUUAUAACAAUUUUUAUUCCGAAAUAUUGAAAUUUCAUAAUUUAGUUGCGAAAAGAAUAGAUUCCUGAGUUUUUGGGGCACAAAAUAUUUAACCAAAAUCAAUCAAUCAAACAAACCAACAAAAAAAAAAAUGUUUGCACAUUUUUCUCACUCUUCCUCCCUCUAAUUUGUGGGUAAUUGAACCGGGAAAAUUCAGGCAGCACAGAGAUUAAACGGGAUUUCAUACCUAAAAGAGUAAAUUAAAAAAUAAUCAAUGUACGUACGUAUACCUAUAAAAAAAACUACUAUUUCUAAAAAUUCUAAUAAAAGAGAUUAACUUGAA